rnacentral:rRNA from 1 species
GACGAACGCUGGCGGCGUGCUUAACACAUGCAAGUCGAGCGGUAAGGCCCUUUCGGGGGUACACGAGCGGCGAACGGGUGAGUAACACGUGGGUGACCUGCCCUUAGCUCUGGGAUAAGCCUGGGAAACUGGGUCUAAUACCGGAUAUGACUCCAUGACGCAUGUUGUGGGGUGGAAAGCCUUGUGCGGCUAGGGAUGGGCCCGCGGCCUAUCAGCUUGUUGGUGGGGUGAUGGCCUACCAAGGCGA